rnacentral:rRNA from 1 species
GAUGAACGCUGGCGGCGUGCCUAAUACAUGCAAGUCGAGCGAACAGAUGAGGAGCUUGCUCCUCUGACGUUAGCGGCGGACGGGUGAGUAACACAUGGAUAACCUACCUAUAAGACUGGGAUAACUUCGGGAAACCGGAGCUAAUACCGGAUAAUAUAUUGAACCGCAUGGUUCAAUAGUGAAAGACGGUUUUGCUGUCACUUAUAGAUGGAUCCGCGCCGCAUUAGCUAGUUGGUAAGGUAGCGGCUUACCAAGGCAACGAUGCGUAGCCGACCUGAGAGGGUGAUCGGCCACACUGGAACUGAGACACGGUCCAGACUCCUACGGGAGGCAGCAGUAGGGAAUCUUCCGCAAUGGGCGAAAGCCUGACGGAGCAACGCCGCGUGAGUGAUGAAGGUCUUCGGAUCGUAAAACUCUGUUAUUAGGGAAGAACAAAUGUGUAAGUAACUAUGCACGUCUUGACGGUACCUAAUCAGAAAGCCACGGCUAACUACGUG